rnacentral:rRNA from 1 species
CCCCUAGAUGUUCUGGGCCGCACGCGCGCUACACUGAACAGUUCAACAAGUCUUAACCUUGGCCGAUAGGUCUGGGUAAUCUUUGAACGCUGUUCGUGAUUGGGAUAGACCUUUGCAAUUAUGGGUCUUCAACGAGGAAUUCCUAGUAAACGCAAGUCAUCAGCUUGCAUUGAUUACGUCCCUGCCCUUUGUACACACCGCCCGUCGCACCUACCGAUUGAAUGGUCCGGUGAAAUCUCGGGAUUGCGAAUGCUUCGUGCGGACGCGAGAACUUGGCUAAACCUUACCAUUUAGAGGAAGGUGAAGUCGUAACA